UACCCAGCUUAAGGCCAGGAUAUUCAAAGACCAAAUCAGAUUCCUACCCUCAUCCCAGCUCAGUGCUGGAAACUGUUCUGAAUAAACAGAACCUACCACAUGCAAGGCACUCAGUAAAAAAUAAGUAUCAUUAAUGCUGCAACCCUGUGAAGAAAAUGCCAAAAAGCACCCGCGGUUUGAAGAAGGGGGAACCCUGUUGACAUGUCCUGCCUUUCUCCUGCUGUGUGCUCCUCUGUCGGCUGACUGCACCACAAUGUAUGCACCCAUUCUCCAUGCCCGGGCUUAUCAUUUCGCUUCCCAGUUUUUGCUACCAGGAAUCUCCCUGCAAGAAAAGUUUUUCGUGUGUG